AGAGUGAACGCUGGCGGUAGGCCUAACACAUGCAAGUCGAACGGCAGCACGGUAAGAGCUUGCUCUUAUGGGUGGCGAGUGGCGGACGGGUGAGGAAUACAUCGGAAUCUACCUUUUGGUGGGGGAUAACGUAGGGAAACUUACGCUAAUACCGCAUACGCCCUUCGGGGGAAAGCCGGGGACCAGCAAUGGCCUGGCGCUGAUAGAUGAGCCGAUGUCGGAUUAGCUAGUUGGUGAGGUAAUGGCUCACCGAGGCGACGAUCCGUAGCUGGUCUGAGAGGAUGAUCAGCCACACGUAGGAACUAGGAGACGACGGUACCAGUACUCCGUACGGGAGCAGCAGGUGGGAAUAGUUAGGACAAGUGGGCGUAC
rnacentral:rRNA from 1 species